GUGGGGAAUAUUGGACAAUGGGCGAAAGCCUGAUCCAGCCAUGCCGCGUGUGUGAAGAAGGUCUUCGGAUUGUAAAGCACUUUAAGUUGGGAGGAAGGGCAGUAAGUUAAUACCUUGCUGUUUUGACGUUACCAACAGAAUAAGCACCGGCUAACUUCGUGCCAGCAGCCGCGGUAAUACGAAGGGUGCAAGCGUUAAUCGGAAUUACUGGGCGUAAAGCGCGCGUAGGUGGUUUUGUAAGUUGGGGGUGAAAUCCCGGGGCUCAACCUCGGAACUGCCUUCAAAACUGCAUGACUAGAGUACGGUAGAGGGUAGUGGAAUUUCCUGUGUAGCGGUGAAAUGCGUAGAUAUAGGAAGGAACACCAGUGGCGAAGGCGACUACCUGGACUGAUACUGACACUGAGGUGCGAAAGCGUGGGGAGCAAACAGGAUUAGAUACCCCGGUAGUCC
rnacentral:rRNA from 1 species